UGGCGGCGUGCAUAACACAUUCAAGUCGAACGGGGUUAUGGAGGUGCUUGCACUGACAUAACUUAGUGGCGGACGGGUGAGUAAUGCAUGAGCAACCUGCCUCGAAGAGUGGAAUAACACAUGGAAACGUGUGCUAAUACCGCAUAAUGUAUACGGAGGGCAUCCUCUGUAUAAGAAAGGGGAAACCCGCUUUGAGAUGGGCUCAUGUCUGAUUAGGUAGUUGGUGAGGUAACGGCCCACCAAGCCUGCGAUCAGUAGCCGGACUGAGAGGUUGAACGGCCACAUUGGGACUGAGAUACGGCCCAGACUCCUACGGGAGGCAGCAGUGGGGAAUAUUGGGCAAUGGGGGAAACCCUGACCCAACAACGCCGCGUGAAGGAAGAAGGCCCUCGGGUUGUAAACUUCUUUUACCAGGGACGAAGGACGUGACGGUACCUGGAGAAAAAGCAACGGCUAACUACGUGCCAGCAGCCGCGGUAAUACGUAGGUUGCAAGCGUUGUCCGGAUUUACAGGGCUGUAAAGGGCGUGUAGGCGGAGAUGCGAGUUGGGAGUGAACUCCCGGGGCUCAACCCCCGGAACUGCUUUCAAAACUGCAUCCCUUGAGUAUCGGAGAGGCAAGCGGGAAUUCCUAGUGUAGCGGUGAAAUGCGUAGAUAUUAGGAGGAACACCAGUGGCGAAGGCGGCUUGCUGGACCGACAACUGACGCUGAGGGCGCGAAAGCGUGGGGAGCAAACAGGAUUAGAUACCCUGGUAGUCCACGCUGUAAACGAUGAAUACUAGGUGUGGGGGGACUGACCCCCUCCGUGCCGCAGUUAACACAAUAAGUACUCCACCUGGGGAGUACGACCGCAAGGUUGAAACUCAAAGGAAUUGACGGGGGCCCGCACAAGCAGUGGAUUAUGUGGUUUAAUUCGACGCAACGCGAAGAACCUUACCAGGACUUGACAUCCAACUAACGAAGUAGAGAUACAUUAGGUGCCCUUCGGGGAAAGUUGAGACAGGUGGUGCAUGGUUGUCGUCAGCUCGUGUCGUGAGAUGUUGGGUUAAGUCCCGCAACGAGCGCAACCCCUAUUGUUAGUUGCUACGCAAGAGCACUCUAGCGAGACUGCCGUUGACAAAACGGAGGAAGGCGGGGACGACGUCAAAUCAUCAUGCCCCUUAUGUCCUGGGCUACACACGUAAUACAAUGGCCAUCAACAAAGGGAAGCAAUACCGCGAGGUGGAGCAAAUAACCAAAAAUGGUCUCAGUUCGGAUUGCAGGCUGCAACUCGCCUGCAUGAAGCUGGAAUUGCUAGUAAUCGUAAAUCAGCAAGCCACGGUGAAUACGUUCCCGGGC
rnacentral:rRNA from 1 species